AUACGGAGGGGGCAAACGUUAUUCGGAUUUACUGGGCGUAAAGGGUUCGUAGGCGGUUUUUUAAGUUAGAUGUGAAAGCUUGAAGCUUAACUUCAAAAUAGCAUCUAAAACUGAAUUACUAGAUUCUUGGAGAGGUAGAUGGAAUUACCGGUGUAGCGGUGAAAUGCGUAGAUAUCGGUAGGAACACCAGUGGCGAAAGCGAUCUACUGGACAAGUAAUGACGCUGAGGGACGAAAGCGUGGGUAGCAAACAGGAUUAGAUACCCUGGUAGUCCACGCCCUAAACGAUGAAUACUAGAUGUUGGAUUUUUUCAGUAUCGUAGCUAACGUAUUAAGUAUUCCGCCUGGGGAGUACGGUCGCAAGGCUGAACUCAAGGAAUUGGCGGGGACUCGCACAAGCGGUGGAGCAUGUGGUUUAAUUCGAUGCUAAGCGAAGAACCUUACCAGGGCUUGACAUGUAAGCAUAAGCUUGCGUGAAGCGUGGAGUGGAUUUGAGUUUACUCAUUUCGG
rnacentral:rRNA from 1 species